CAGUAGCCGCGGGAAUACGUAGGUGGCAAGCGUUGUCCGGAAUUAUUGGGCGUAAAGGGCUCGCAGGCGGUUUCUUAAGUCUGAUGUGAGAGCCCCCGGCUCAACCGGGGAGGGUCAUUGGAAACUGGGAAACUUGAGUGCAGAAGAGGAGAGUGGAGUUCCACGUGUAGCGGUGAAAUGCGUAGAGAUGUGGAGGAACACCAGUGGCGAAGGCGACUCUCUGGUCUGUAACUGACGCUGAGGAGCGAAAGCGUGGGGAGCGAACAGGAUUAGAUACCCCGGUAGUCCCUGUCUCUUAUAA
rnacentral:rRNA from 1 species